AUACGGAGGGUGCAAGCGUUAUCCGGAAUCAUUGGGUUUAAAGGGUCCGCAGGCGGAUUAAUAAGUCAGUGGUGAAAUCCUCUCGCUCAACGAGAGAACUGCCAUUGAAACUGUUAGUCUUGAAUUCGGUCGAAGUAGGCGGAAUGUGUCAUGUAGCGGUGAAAUGCAUAGAUAUGACACAGAAUACCGAUAGCGAAGGCAGCUUACUAGACCUGGAUUGACGCUCAUGGACGAAAGCGUGGGGAGCGAACAGGAUUAGAAACCCUAGUAGUCC
rnacentral:rRNA from 1 species